UGGGGAAUAUUGGACAAUGGGCGAAAGCCUGAUCCAGCCAUGCCGCGUGUGUGAAGAAGGUCUUCGGAUUGUAAAGCACUUUAAGUUGGGAGGAAGGGCAUUAACCUAAUACGUUAGUGUUUUGACGUUACCGACAGAAUAAGCACCGGCUAACUCUGUGCCAGCAGCCGCGGUAAUACAGAGGGUGCAAGCGUUAAUCGGAAUUACUGGGCGUAAAGCGCGCGUCGGUGGUUUGUUAAGUUGGAUGUGAAAUCCCCGGGCUCAACCUGGGAACUGCAUUCAAAACUGACUGACUAGAGUAUGGUAGAGGGUGGUGGAAUUUCCUGUGUAGCGGUGAAAUGCGUAGAUAUAGGAAGGAACACCAGUGGCGAAGGCGACCACCUGGACUAAUACUGACACUGAGGUGCGAAAGCGUGGGGAGCAAACA
rnacentral:rRNA from 1 species